CUUCAAAAGAACGGAAAACUUACUUUUUAUGUCAUUUGACCAAUCCUGCGGCGUUUUCAAGGUCCAGUCACUAUUAGAAUGGGACUCUGUCUACUUUGAUCUCCGUUUGAGAAAUUCUUCUGUUUCCAGAAUACCUCAUAAAGCCUGUCGAAAUUA